rnacentral:lncRNA from 1 species
AUUAGAAGAGAAGAACCUCGGUGAAGAUGACAACACCACAUAAAAUUGUUAAAUAAAAUAAAGAUGUCUCUCAUUGGUCGACCAAUUCGACAAUGAAACAAUAAAAAGUACAAAAAAUGCAAGAAACUUAAGAUAGUAUAUACAUUGGAAGAACGAAAACAUUAACUGCAAAACCUGCAAGAAAAAAAUGGAAACGAAAUCAGUUAAAUGUAAGAGG